UACGGCCCGAUCGCGAAAUAGCUAAACUUGCUCUUGUUCGGCGAUCUGCAGGAUACGCCGGGAACAAAACAAUACAAACUCCUUGAAGUUUCAAUGAAAUGCAGCCUGGGAGGGACGCAGCCCUUGGUNNNNNNNNNNNGUUAUUUUUUAGGCGUGUAUCCCCACCGCAUGGGCUCGUUCAUCUUGCUAUUGCCCAAGGAACCCUUAAACCUAUUUGGGCUAAGGAAUUGCGGGGCUGCCAUAACCAUAGGGUAGCGUAGCUU
rnacentral:misc_RNA from 1 species